rnacentral:rRNA from 1 species
AAGGUUAAGUUGUUAAGCAACGGAGCCGAAGCGAGAGCGAGUCUGAAUAGGGCGUUUAGUUGCAUGCAGUGGGCCCGAAACCGGGUGACCUAUCCAUGGUCAGGUUGAAGUGGAGGUAAAACUCCAUGGAGGACCGAACCGACCCCUCGUAAGGAAGGUGGAGUGACAUUGGAGUANCGGCGGAAUACUACAGACACGUGGAGAUCNGUUGUUCCCAACCAUGUUGUGGCGACAGCGGUCGGAGAUGAAGUUAGGGUUAAGGGACACNGUUUCGGUUGCGGCGUNCGAGAGCGGUCCGAAACAGCGGNGAACUACUGAUAACUAACUAGUGUCGCGCUAGCAAGGUCGACGCGGCCGGACGUCGUGGGAGGGCAAGGAGCCAACACGGGAGGUAGAG